UCCCCCUUAGCUCAGGGGUAGAGCGCUUAACUCGUAGGAUCAGAGGCUGUGUGUCACGAUGAAGAGGCCAGUCGUUCAAAUCGGCUAGGGGGAA